UACAGAGGUCUCAAGCGUUGUUCGGAUUCAUUGGGCGUAAAGGGUGCGUAGGCGGCGCGGUAAGUCGGGUGUGAAAUCUUGGAGCUUAACUCCGAAACUGCAUUCGAUACUGCCGUGCUUGAGGACUGGAGAGGAGACUGGAAUUACGGUGUAGCGGUGAAAUGCGUAGAUAUCGUAAGGAAGACCAGUGGCGAAGGCGGGUCUCUGGA
rnacentral:rRNA from 1 species